AUAGCACUGAGGCCGCAGUAAUGAUCUGCAGGGGUAUUUGCUAUGCGGUCCCUGGUAGUCAGUGUUCACAGAUUUCAUGUUGGAGUAUUGCCCGGCACCAAGCUAGAAAGUGGACCUGCGACAUUACAUCUAUGCAAUGACAUCUUAGUUCUUGCUAGAGAUCUUCCACCGGUCGUUAUGGGGCAGUGGAAAUUGUCUGACUUGAGACGCUAUGGAGCUGUGGCCAAUGGCUUUGUCUUUGAGGGAGGAACACGGUGCGGAUACUGGGCCGGUGUGUUUUUCCUCUCCUGUACAGAAGGAGACCAGAUCAGUUUCCUAUUUGACUGCAUCGUUCGCGGCAUUUCUCCAACAAAAGGCCCGUUUGGUCUGCGCCCAGUGCUGCCAGAUCCAAACUUAAACCCUGCUUAUAUGGAAGAAAGGGUGGCACAUGAGACCCUACAGCUGGAAAAACGCCUCAGCCUGCUCUCUCAUCAUAGCCUGGGAGGAGAUGACAAAAGUUUGUCCAGUUCUUCUUCAGACACCAGCCAUUCAGAUGCCAGUGCCGGGAGCAGGUUGACCAUCUGGGCAGAUCCUUCCUCAGUCAGCACUUCUGCUGAAAGUCACGGUAUGGCAGCUGCAAAGGGCAUUCAUCUUGGAGAAGAUAAAGCAUAUGCUGAAGCCCUGCGUGCAUCCAAGCCACCUCCUAAGCCCGCACCAUCUAGACAUUUGCAGGAUAUAGGCCGUCAAAGCUCUUCUGACAGUGGGAUAGCUACCGGCAGUCACUCUUCUUACUCCGGAAGCUUUUCUUCCUAUGCUGAGAGCCUGGACAUUUGCCACGGCGAGGAGUUUGGCUCACUGAUCAGCUUACCAUUGGCCAUGGCCACAGAUCAGAAUCUAUGUACAUGUCAGCAUCCGGAUUCACACAGAGGGUCUGAAUAUCAGAUUCCUGCCUCUGUCAGACACCUUUACGACACACCUCGAAGUGUUUUACAGGCAGCUGUUAGAGAACCUCAUCACAAGACUUCAGAUUCCACAUUACUUAAGGACCAGGCCCAAGGAGCUCACAGCACCAGUGAUACUAAGCUAUUGCUGCCCCAUGUUGACUCCAAAACUGCAUCAUUACUCCAAGAAAGCAAAGACUCAGGUGAAGAGACAUAUGUGGAUUUUGUUCCAAAGUGGACCGCAACAAAGGGGCAACCACAGGGGAUGGAACCAAGAGGAAGUGACUUGGCCGCUGCAGGAACAAGUGAGACUUGUGACAUCUGCAGCCCGCAACCUGGAAUUACCAGGGCCCUUUUUUCUGCUUGCCCAGUAUGUGGGGGGCUGAAGGGAGCGACAGCCCUGCACACAGGAGUUUUAUCGACAACAUCCUUACAAGGCGCCACCUCUGCACUGGCAUCAACAGGAGCACAUAAACCUCACAAAGUCCCACCAAUGCUACUUGUCUCUGCAGGGGCAGGAGGUUAUCCGGCCGAGCCACUGGUUUCUGACCGACCUCGCAGUGAGACAGCAACUUAUGUAAAUAUUCCUAUCAGCCCUACAUCAAAGAAACAGCUCCAUUACAUGGCAUUAGAACUUCAAGAUCCUAGUACAGGAAUAAGAGGAGGAGGCGCCACCAAAUACGCUCAGAUAGAUAUUGCGGCAACAGAGACGGCACACAAAGUGGGGUCCCAGCACGCUCAGUCCAGAGAAGAACGUUUACAAGAGCUGGAGCAGAAGAGGAAAGGAAAUCAGCAAUGAGGGGUUUAGGUGUGUGGCAAAGGGGCCGGCGGCUCUAGGUCUGAGUGUAAACCUUUCUAAAAGUGACGCAUUAAGGUCCACUGGGCUCAAUGAACUACUGGAACUUAUUGAGUCAUAUAGUCGGCCCAGUGUGACUUAUUGAAAGAACGGAAUCAUAUGUUGCUUGGUGGCACAGGGGUCAUUCCAAAACUGAUAUUCCCUCUUGGAGACAUAACAAUCUAAAGUGUCCGGUCAUAGUAAGUGCCCUUUAAAUCCUAAGAUGGAAUGAAACAAAAAUGAUCUAUAAAUACUUGUAUAUUCACAUUAGUUUUGUACGUGUAGGAUAUCUAGGUAUUUAUUUGUUCCUUUCACCAUGUAUUAUUAUUAUUUAAUUUUAUGUGCAUAUCAUUUUAUACAUAAAGGAUUCUGCAACAUACCUCCUCAGUUUUUGUCUUAAACAUAGGACUAUGUUUUAAGCAAAUCGCAAAUGAUUUCGGUUUUGCUGUUUUCAAUAAAGGAAAAUUCCAGUCAAAACUGGGAAUUGGUUUGGACAUUGUGCUCUCGGUAGUCACAGAAUGGUUUCUAUAUUAUAGCAGCUUGUGGCCUCAUAUUCAUAGAUGUAGUGCAAUGUCUAUAGAGUUCUACUAAAUCCAUACUGUGAGGUGUAACCUGAAGCUCCUGGGCCCCUAUACAGAAACUCUAAUAGGACCCCCACAUACCAUGUGCAACAUAUGAACAUUAACUAAUAACGCUUUUGCUUUGACAGAGUUUGGUUCAUUAGCAGGGCCAGAUUAUCAUAGGAGCUUUUGGAGCUCAUGCUCUGGGCCCCGCAAGCCCAGGAAUGAAAGGGGGCCCCGUUCCCUCUGCAUCAUACAGAUCCUGGUCAGCAGUCACUUAAAAACAGGGCUCUCCUCACAGAACAUAAUGGCAGUGACUGCCGAUCAGGACCUGCUUUGUACCUUCUGAAUGCUGGAGGGGAUGAUUUCUUUGAGGACCUGUGGUGAUGUCACGAUCAUGUGACUUGGGAGCGGAGCUAAAUUUCCCAGAGCAGCCAGGAGAGCAGAGUGUAUGUGUCGAAUCAGGUGCUUGUAGAAACCCGGAAAACAUCGGAUGGCAGGAGAUGAGCGUACUUCUCUUACAAUAUGUCUUGUUUUGAACAUCAGAUGUGGACUAUUGUAUAUUAACAAGAAUAUCAUAUUGGCAUUGAUUUCCAUCAUUCAUUAUUACUGAUAACGUCCAAUAAAACUUUA